rnacentral:rRNA from 1 species
AUUGAACGCUGGCGGCAGGCUCAACACAUGCAAGUCGAGCGGAGAUGAGGUGCUUGCACCUUAUCUUAGCGGCGGACGGGUGAGUAAUGCUUAGGAAUCUGCCUAUUAGUGGGGGACAACAUUCCGAAAGGAAUGCUAAUACCGCAUACGUCCUACGGGAGAAAGCAGGGGAGCUUCGGACCUUGCGCUAAUAGAUGAGCCUAAGUCUGAUUAGCUAGUUGGUGGGGGAAAGGCCUACCAAGGCGACGAUCUGUAGCGGGUCUGAGAGGAUGAUCCGCCACACUGGGACUGAGACACGGCCCAGACUCCUACGGGAGGCAGCAGUGGGGAAUAUUGGACAAUGGGGGGAACCCUGAUCCAGCCAUGCCGCGUGUGUGAAGAAGGCCUUAUGGUUGUAAAGCACUUUAAGCGAGGAGGAGGCUACUGAGACUAAUACUCUUGGAUAGUGGACGUUACUCGCAGAAUAAGCACCGGCUAACUCUGUGCCAGCCGCCGCGGUAA